UACGGGAGGCAGCAGUGGGGAAUUUUGGACAAUGGGGGCAUCCCUGAUCCUACCAUCAAACGCGAGUGAAGAAGGCCUUGCGGGUUGUAAAGCUCUUUCAGCCGGGAAGAAAAUGCAUGGUUUAAUACCCCGUGCAGAUGACGGUACCGGAAUAAGAAGCACCGGCUAAUGAGCUGCCAGCAGCCGCGGUAAUACUUAGGGUGCGAGCGUUAAUCGGAAUUACUUGGCUCAAGCGUGCGCACGCGCCGCAACACAGGCGGAUCCCGGAUC
rnacentral:rRNA from 1 species